UAGCUCAGUGGUAGAGUGCCUGCCUCGCAAGUAUGAGGCCCUGAGUUCGAUUCCCAG
rnacentral:tRNA from 1 species